UACUCCUACGGGAGGCAGCAGUGGGGAAUUUUGGACAAUGGGGGCAACCCUGAUCCAGCAAUGCCGCGUGUGUGAAGAAGGCCUUCGGGUUGUAAAGCACUUUUGUCCGGAAAGAAAUCCCUUGCCCUAAUACGGCGGGGGGAUGACGGUACUGGAAGAAUAAGCACCGGCUAACUACGUGCCAGCAGCCGCGGUAAUACGUAGGGUGCAAGCGUUAAUCGGAAUUACUGGGCGUAAAGCGUGCGCAGGCGGUUCGCUAAGACAGAUGUGAAAUCCCCGGGCUUAACCUGGGAACUGCAUUUGUGACUGGCGGGCUAGAGCAUGGCAGAGGGGGGUAGAAUUCCACGUGUAGCAGUGAAAUGCGUAGAGAUGUGGAGGAAUACCGAUGGCGAAGGCAGCCCCCUGGGCCAAUACUGACGCUCAUGCACGAAAGCGUGGGGAGCAAACAGGAUUAGAUACCCUGGUAGUCCACGCCCUAAACAAUGUCAACUAGUUGUCGGGUCUUCAUUGACUUGGUAACGUAGCUAACGCGUGAAGUUGACCGCCUGGGGAGUACGGUCGCAAGAUUAAAACUCAAAGGAAUUGACGGGGACCCGCACAAGCGGUGGAGCAUGUGGA
rnacentral:rRNA from 1 species